GACGAACGCUGGCGGCGUGCUUAACACAUGCAAGUCGAGCGGAGCGGCGCACGGGUGGGUAACGCGUGAGUAACUGCCCCCCUCUCUGGGCUAACAGUUGGUAACGGCUGCUAAUACCGGCUAGUGGGGGAUGACUCGCGUCCUAUCCGCUUGUUGGUGGGGUAGUGGCCUUCAAAGGCGACGUCGGGUAGCCGGCCUGGGAGGGGGACCGGCCACAUUGGGCGGAGAUACGGCCCAAACUCCUACGGGAGGCAGCAGUGGGGAAUAUGGCCCAAUGGGGGAAACCCUGAUGCAGCAACGCCGCGUGCGGGAUGUCGGCCUUCGGGUUGUAAACCGCUUUCAGCCAUGACGCGGUAGUGGCAGAAGAAGCACCGGCUAACUACGUGCCAGCAGCCGCGGUAAUUC
rnacentral:rRNA from 1 species